rnacentral:misc_RNA from 1 species
GAUGAAGAACGUAGCGAAAUGCGAUACGUAAUGUGAAUUGCAGAAUUCAGUGAAUCAUCGAGUCUUUGAACGCACAUUGCGCCCCCUGGUAUUCCGGGGGGCAUGCCUGUCCGAGCGUCAUUGCUGCCCUCAAGCACGGCUUGUGUGUUGGGCCUCCGUCCUCCUCCCGGGGGACGCGCCCGAAAGGCAGCGGCGGCACCGCGUCCGGUCCUCGAGCGUAUGGGGCUUCGUCACCCGCUCUUGUAGGCCCGGCCGGCGCUUGCCGACACAUCAAUCUUUUUUCCAGGUUGACCUCGGAUCAGGUAGGGAUACCCGCUGAACUUAAGCAUAUCAAUAAGCGGAGGA